rnacentral:rRNA from 1 species
UACGAAGGGGGGCUAGCGUUGCUCGGAAUCACUGGGCGUAAAGGGUGCGUAGGCGGGUUUUUAAGUCAGAGGUGAAAUCCUGGAGCUCAACUCCAGAACUGCCUUUGAUACUGACGAUCUGGAGAUCGGGAGAGGUUGGUGGAAUUCCGAGUGUAGAGGUGAAAUUCGUAGAUAUUCGGAGGAACACCAGAAGCGAAGGCGGCCAACUGGCCCGAUACUGACGCUGAGGCGCGAAAGCGUGGGGAGCAAACAGG